GGGCUUGACAUCCCACGAACCUGCCCGAAAAGGUGGGGUGCCCGCAAGGGAGCGUGGAGACGGGUGGUGCAUGGCUGUCGUCAGCUCGUGUCGUGAGAUGUUGGGUUAAGUCCCGCAACGAGCGCAACCCUCACCCCUAGUUGCCACCGGGUUAAGCCGAGCACUCAAGGGGAACUGCCAGCGUCAAGCUGGAGGAAGGCGGGGAUGACGUCAAGUCAUCAUGCCCCUUACGCCCUGGGCUACACACGUGCUACAAUGGCCAGCACAAAGGGACGCGAGACUGCGAAGUGGAGCUAAUCCCAAAAAGCUGGUCUAAGUUCAGAUUGCAGUCUGCAACUCGACUGCAUGAAGGAGGAAUCGCUAGUAAUCGCGCAUCAGCCCGGCGCGGUGAAUACGUUCCCGGGCCUUGUACACACCGCCCGUCACACCACGAAAGCCAGCUGUACUCGAAGUCGCUGAG
rnacentral:rRNA from 1 species